GCGGAGGUGGUCUGGGGCCAGGGGUGGGGAGGAGUGAUCCAAGUCCGCCCUCCCCCCCCCCCCCCCCCAGCCAAUUAUCGACGGAUAAAACCCGCGGCGGAAAUUUGCAGGAAGAGUUAGGGUUUGUGUGUGGCGGGGUGGGGAAUUCCCGAGGGGUGUCGACGGCUGGAUGGAAACCCCCGCGCGGGCUGCCCUUGCGGCGCUUCUUCAGCUAUACAACCAAGAUACCUGAUUGACUUGUGCAAGAUCAGACUUCCACCAGGCUUGCUCCUGCCCUAGGACCAUUGCGUUCGCUGGUUCCUCAGCCUGGAAUGCCCGCGCUCAGAUCUCCACAUGGGUAACUGUGAUCAACCGUCUUAAUGCCAAGUUCACCUUCUCAGGAGGACUUUCUGGCUCACGAUAUCUAAGACAUUUCUCAAGCACCUUCUGUGUGCUGAUGGAGUCUGAGACAGACAAGAUUUCUGCCUUCACGGAACUUAAAUUGUAAUUUAGAGGAGACAGAUGGCACGCACACUCUGACAUCCGAGCUUCGUUCUUCCCUCUGGCUGGAGCACAUUUACCCCAGAGAGCUGUGUGGGCCACUCCUCCAACUCCUCCAGGUCUUUGCUCACAGGUCAUCUUCCUGGGCACUCUGGAGCUGGAAUAGAUUUUCCAGAGACGUCUCAAAUCAAAGCCAGGGGGCCAGGUCUUUGUACUCCACAUGGACCAGUAAAGUGAUGUAGAGUGACCUCAGGAAUGUGGCAUGACCUUGGUCAUAUUCCAGCCUUUAGAGUCAGAAGAUGUGUUAAAGGAUGCAUUUGGCCACUUAUGCAGAGGGGUCUGCAUAUAUACCUACAGGUGCACACACAAAACCCUCAGGAUCUGAUACCUCACUAAGAUUUUCUAUGAUUAUUGCCUUGAAAAUAUUUUCUGGAAAUCUGGGAGAGACCUUCAAGAUGGCGGAGGAGUAAGAUGUGGAGAUCACCUUCCUCCCCACAAAUACAUCAAAAAUACAUCUACAUGUGGAACAGCUCCUACAGAACACCUAUUGAACGCUGGCAGAAGACCUCAGACCUCCCAAAAGGCAAGAAACUCCCAAGUACCUGGGUAGGGAAAAAGAAAAAAGAAAAAACAGAGACAAAGAAUAGAGACGGGACCUGCACCAGUGGGAGGGAGCUGUGAAGUAGGAAAGGUUUCCACACACUAGGAAGCCCCUUCGCGGGCGGAGACUGCGGGUGGCAGAGGGGGGAAGCUUCGGAGCCACAGAGGAGAGCGCAGCCACAAGGGUGCGGAGGGCAAAGCGGAGAGAUUCCUGCACAGAGGAUCGGUGCCGAGCAGCACUCACCAGCCCGAGAGGCUCGUCUGCUCCCCCGCCGGGGCGGGCAGGGGCUGGGAGCUGAGGCUCGGGCUUCGAAGGUUGGAUCCCAGGGAGAGGACUGGGGUUGGCGGCGUGAACACAGCCUGAAGGGGCUAGUGCACCACAGCUAGCCGGGAGGGAGUCCGGGAAAAAGUCUGGAGCUGCCGAAGAGGCAAGAGACUUUUUCUUGCCUCUCUGUUUCCUAGUGCGUCAGGAGAGGAGAUUCAGAGCACAGCUUAAAGGAGCUCCAGAGACGGACACGAGCCGCGGGUAUCAGCGCGGACCCCAGAGACGGGCAUGAGACACUAAGGCUGCUGCUGCCACCACCAAGAAGCCUGUCUGCAAGCACAGGUCACUCUCCACACCUCCCCUCCCGGGAGCCUGUGCAGCCCGCCACUGCCAGCAUCCCGUGAUCCAGGGACAACUUCCCGGGAGAACGCACGGAGUGCCUCAGGCUGCUGCAACGUCACGCCGGCCUCUGCCGCUGCAGGCUCGCCCUGCAUCCGUACCCCUCCCUCCCCCCGGCCUGAGUGAGCCAGAGCCCCCGAAUCAGCUGCUCCUUUAAACCCCUCCUGUCUGAGCAAAGAACAGACGCCCUCAGGCGACCUACACGCAGAGGCGGGUCCAAAUCCAAAGCUGAACCCCGAGAGCUGUGCGAACAAAGAAGAAAAGGGGAAAUUUCUCCCAGCAGCCUCAGGAGCAGCGGAUUAAAUCUCCACAAUCAACCUGAUGUACCUGCAUCUGUGGAAUACCUGAAGAGACAACAAAUUAUCCCAAAAUUGAGGCAGUAGACUUUGGGAGCAACUGUAGACUUGGGGUUUGCUUUCUGCAAAUAAUUUGUUUCUGGUUUAUGUUUAUCUUAGUUUAGUAUUUAGAGUUUA